rnacentral:lncRNA from 1 species
UAUGAAGCCUCUACUAGUACUAAUUAUAGGUAGUCGGGUCAUAACUCCCAACUAUCCCAACUCAAUACGACUGAUUAAAGAAAAUAUAUAAAAAAAAUACUUCUCAAACUGUAAAACUGACUCGAGACCUUGGAUCAAAAGGACUCAUCACCUGCUGACUGGAAGCUGCAACUGACUGAACGUGGUAUGUGUGCUACAACUCGUACCUACAUUAUGAGACAAUGUAGCUCAUAGACAUAUAUGUGGGUCAGCACUUUGGGAAUGUACUGAGUAUAUGUGGGUGUAUGCAAUAUUUAAAUAAUAUCAUCAAUCUUUAUAGAAAUCAUGCAUGCAAAAUGUAAAUGACUCACAUAGCUUGAGUUUUCUUAAAGCUUAAUCUCAUAAAUCAGGAAUAGCAAAAUACAUAGUAUAAAUCUCAUGCGUCAUUACACUUAGUUCUAAAAACUAUACUUUAACUCUUUAAAUCGUACUGUCUAAGUGUAAAAAGGGACUCACUCUAAAAUAUGAAAUCUGCAGAUAAACUCUGUAACUCAAAUCUUUCUGUAAAUUAUAGUCUGACAUAUAGUUGUGAACCUUUACACUUAGUUUCAAAAAUCCUUUCUGUUCUAAAAUCUAUAGUCUGUGAACUUUAAAACUUUAAGGAAACAUACAUUAUCUUGAGGAGAUGCUUUUAUAAGCCUUUCUUUACUAAUAGAAAAAUCACUUACUCAAAGCUUUAGGGGAAAAUACAUCAGGAAAUUAAUCUAGAAACUUUAUUAUUAGGAAAAUAACUUCUCUUAAGAAAAAUAUCUUAUUUCAAGGGAGGUUCUAUUAACCGACAUAAACCAUGCGAGUUACAUGGAGUCCAACAUUUUGUCCUCCUAAGGAAGAAGUCCCACGUUGGGGAGGAGCGUUAUACUCUUGCUUGGGAGUAUAACCUUAACUCAGUGAUCACAAACUCGACCUCAGGCCCAUUAAUCUCAAUCCUAUGGUGGCACAUAGUUCUGGGGUAUGAGAUAUCAGAAUCAUACCCAACUCAGUGCUAAAUACUACUCCCUUAUUAUUUACUUGCUCCUCUUAUUGGAAAUCUACUUUUAAAAAUACAAUCUCAUGGUUUAUAAUGAAACCAAACUCAUACAUGUAAUCUGUAAUAAACUCUGAAAAGUGGAUUCCACAUCUGAAUUGGGGAUCCGAAGAUCAAAUAAUGUUUAUACAACUUGAAAAUAAAAUAAUCUUAGGGUGCUUAAAAAGCACAAGUUCUUGAAAAAUAUCAAUACUCAAAAUAGGGUCUAAAGACCCAUAUAUCAAAUUCAUGUAAAUUCAUAGUAAUUCAUCAUGCUCAAUAAGUUUUCUUGAAAAUUUCUCAUCAAUAUCAACAUAAAUUUCGAGAGUCAUAAUAUCAUGCUUAAACUCAAUUGAAAUCUGAAAUCAAUAUCUCAUAACAUAUUCAUGGCAUUCAAAAUCAUGAAAAUAGCAUUCUUUAACUCAAGCAACCAUGGAAUGUCAUAAUUUAAUCAUAUCAUGCUCAAAAUCAUCAAUAAGAAACUUUGGGCAUAACCCAACAUUCAAAAUCAUGAGAAAUUCACAUGAAAACAUAAUUUUGGGCACAAAGGUGAAAGAAUUGCCCUUGUUCAAACCCCACAUACCUUAGAUUAUGAAAUUUGGAUGAACACUUGCUUUUGGGACUCUAUUUGUGCUUUUGAUGCAUGAUUCUUGAAGAUCUUAGUUUGGGGAUUCUAAUUGUUGAAUCAAUUUUGGAAUUUGACGGUGAAAUUUUGAGGGAUCUUGAAUCUUAGGUUGAGGC